rnacentral:rRNA from 1 species
UGGGGAAUAUUGCACAAUGGGCGCAAGCCUGAUGCAGCAAUGCCGCGUGAGUGAAGACGGCCUUAGGGUUGUAAAACUCUUUCGCUAGGGAAGAUAAUGACGGUACCUAGUAAAGAAGUCCCGGCUAACUCCGUGCCAGCAGCCGCGGUAAUACGGAGGGGACUAGCGUUGUUCGGAAUUACUGGGCGUAAAGCGCACGUAGGCGGACCAGAAAGUUGGGGGUGAAAUCCCGGGGGCUCAACCCCGGAACUGCCUCCAAAACUAUUGGUCUAGAGUUCGAGAGAGGUGAGUGGAAUUCCAAGUGUAGAGGUGAAAUUCGUAGAUAUUUGGAGGAACACCAGUGGCGAAGGCGGCUCACUGGCUCGAUACUGACGCUGAGGUGCGAAAGUGUGGGGAGCAAACAGGAUUAGAUACCCUGGUAGUCCACACCGUAAAACGAUGAAUGCCAGUCGUCGGGUAGCAUGCUAUUCGGUGACACACCUAACGGAUUAAGCAUUCCGCCUGGGGAGUACGGUCGCAAGAUUAAAA